UGGGGAAUAUUGGACAAUGGGCGCAAGCCUGAUCCAGCCAUGCCGCGUGAGUGAUGAAGGCCCUAGGGUUGUAAAGCUCUUUCACCGGUGAAGAUAAUGACGGUAACCGGAGAAGAAGCCCCGGCUAACUUCGUGCCAGCAGCCGCGGUAAUACGAAGGGGGCUAGCGUUGUUCGGAUUUACUGGGCGUAAAGCGCACGUAGGCGGACUAUUAAGUCAGGGGUGAAAUCCCGGGGCUCAACCCCGGAACUGCCUUUGAUACUGGUAGUCUUGAGUUCGAGGGAGGUGAGUGGAAUUCCGAGUGUGGAGGUGAAAUUCGUAGAUAUUCGGAGAAACACCAGUGGCGAAGGCGGCUCACUGGCUGGAUACUGACGCUGAGGUGCGAAAGCGUGGGGAGCAAACAGG
rnacentral:rRNA from 1 species